GGGCCCGCACAAGCGGCGGAGCAUGCGGAUUAAUUCGAUGCAACGCGAAGAACCUUACCAAGGCUUGACAUACACCGGAAAAGUGCAGAGAUGUGCUCCCCGCAAGGUCGGUGUACAGGUGGUGCAUGGUUGUCGUCAGCUCGUGUCGUGAGAUGUUGGGUUAAGUCCCGCAACGAGCGCAACCCUCGCCCUAUGUUGCCAGCGGGUUAUGCCGGGGACUCAUGGGAGACUGCCGGGGUCAACUCGGAGGAAGGUGGGGAUGACGUCAAAUCAUCAUGCCCCUUAUGUCUUGGGCUUCACGCAUGCUACAAUGGCCGGUACAAAGGGCUGCGAUACCGCGAGGUGGAGCGAAUCCCAAAAAGCCGGUCUCAGUUCGGAUUGGGGUCUGCAACUCGACCCCAUGAAGUCGGAGUCGCUAGUAAUCGCAGA
rnacentral:rRNA from 1 species